rnacentral:lncRNA from 1 species
GUGAAAAUACAUGUUGGAAAAAAAAAAAGGGAAUUUCAGCGGCUUCUCGAUUCUUCCAAGUCUUCUCCUUUCCACUUAUAAAUAAUCAGGGGAUCCCACGCCAUAUUUGCUGUCAAAAAACUUGUGUCCAAAUUUCUACGUAACCUUAAGCUGACCCCAUCUCCACCUUCAAUCUGGUAAGCUUUCUUUUUCUCAGAAAGCCUGGGUUUUGAUUUUUUGUUUUUUUUAAAUGAUUCGAUCUUUCUUUUAAUAAUUUUGCAUGUGUUUAUGUUUUGUUUCCAGGUUCUUGUUCAGAGCAAUUUAUUGUUAGAUCUUUGUUUGGCUGUUCCAGAAUCGAGAAUGAGUCAUAUCCUUACGAUAUGUUCCUUUUCUCUGAUUUAAGAUCACGCUAAUAUCGAUCCAAUUCUUUGUUUUGAUGAACAAGAUUCUCUUAUCUUCUACUCCCUCUCCCUCUGUUCCAGUUUAUGUGAACCUAUUUCCUUUUUGGUCCGUUCCAAAAAGAAUGAACCCUUUCUAAAUUUGGUAACAAUUUAGCUUAAAGUUGCGUAACUUUAAGCUUUUAUAACCACACAAAUACUCCAUUUGGACUUGUUUAGAAUCACAAGUUCCAAACGGAGGGAGUAUUCGAUUGCCGAGAAAUUGAGAAAAAAUAUCCAAAAUUAAAGAUUUUUUAUUUAAUUUUGUUGGGGUAAUCUAUUAAAUUGGGAAUCCCCUUUCGAGAUAUAUCCUCAAUUGGCUCGGUAUCCAAAGAAUUGGUUUAGUUAGGACCUAAAGAUUGAAUUUUUGUGGCUCAAAGAAUGGCAUUUUUGUUUCUGAUUGUUGUCUGUUUUUGACUUAACUCAAGCUAACGCGGAAAUCAGAGAGAUAGAGAUCGUGAAAGGGCACAAGCCAGGGCAGGUAGCAAACCCAAACAGCCCAAAGGUGAUGGAUUGACCCCUGAACAAAGACGAGAAAGGUUCUUUCUUUCCUCCUAAACAACCCUCAAUUUCAUUGUGUUUAGUACGACGGAAGUUAAUGAAGUUAUUUUUCGUGAAAAUGCUUUUCCACGAUAUGUUUUUUUUUUUUAAAUAAAAUUAUUUUUCAACGUUUAAUUGAGAGCUCAAAGAAAACUUACGUGGUAAAUAUUAAAAAUUAAUCCUAAUAUAAUGUUUUGAUGAAACUAUUAGAAUUUAUAGUCUUUAAAAAUGAUUUUCCGCCAUAUAUGAGACCAGUUUUUCUCCUUCUGAAUGAAAAAUAUUUUGUAGAAAGUAAACUUCGUCGAAUAUAUUGAAAAAUAAUUC